UAUUAAAUAAGCAUUUUAUGCACUUAAGUUUCGACCUUAAGAGAAGGUUAUUCCUUUUAAUAA
rnacentral:tRNA from 1 species